rnacentral:rRNA from 1 species
UACGAAGGACCCGAGCGUUAUCCGGAUUUAUUGGGUUUAAAGGGUGCGUAGGCGGACUUUCAAGUCAGUGGUGAAAGCCCAUCGCUCAACGAUGGAAUUGCCAUUGAUACUGUUGGUCUUGAGUACGGUUGAAGUGGGCGGAAUGUGUCAUGUAGCGGUGAAAUGCUUAGAUAUGACACAGAACACCUAUCGCGAAGGCAGCUCGCUAAGCCGUAACUGACGCUGAGGCACGAAAGUGUGGGUAGCAAACAGG